AACGAACGCUGGCGGCAGGCUUAAUACAUGCAAGUCGAGGGGCAGCAGGGGUAGCAAUACUCGCUGGCGACCGGCAAACGGGUGCGGAACACGUACAGAACCUUCCUUUAAGUGGGGAAUAGCCCAGAGAAAUUUGGAUUAAUACCCCGUAACAUUAUGGAGUGGCAUCACUUUAUAAUUAUAGAUUCAUCGCUUAAAGAUGGCUGUGCGGCUGAUUAGGUAGUUGGCGGGGUAACGGCCCACCAAGCCUGCGAUCAGUAACUGGUGUGAGGGCACGACCAGUCACACGGGCACUGAGACACGGGCCCGACUCCUACGGGAGGCAGCAGUAAGGAAUAUUGGUCAAUGGACGCAAGUCUGAACCAGCCAUGCCGCGUGGAGGAUGAAGGUCCUCUGGAUUGUAAACUUCUUUUAUCUGGGAAGAACCCCAUGUUUUCUAAUGUGGUUGACGGUACCAGAUGAAUAAGCACCGGCUAACUCCCGU
rnacentral:rRNA from 1 species